rnacentral:lncRNA from 1 species
AUGGAUGUAGGUUAUUGUAGCAGAUAUCUAACACUGUUAUCUGUUUUAUAUCAGGGCACAAGAGGCCUCAUGUUGAUCAUGUGGGUGAGUAAGUGUCUUCUGAUGUAAAUCUGCCACAGUGAUUCCAUCUUCCUGUUUGACCUGUUUUCUGUUUUAUUGGAUGAAUAAUGUCCAGUUAAGGUCCACACAGUCUGUACAGGGGAAACCUUUGGUUCUCAUAAAGUUCUGAUGGACCAAGUGAAACAGAAUAAGAAGCUUCAGGUGGAGGAGACAAACCAGCCUGGAUGUGACGUCAUUAUGCUUUUCUGUCCAAUCGUCUCUCGUGCUGGUUCAGAUGUGGAAGCAGCCAUGACUGAGGUUCCAGCUGAUGGAAAAGUCAUUCUGGUGCUGAUGCAUCACACCAGAGACCCAGACUACUCCACCUGUGGGAUGAUAUGGACUGACAGGUUUCCAAACAUCAUCUCAGCUGUUCAUGUUCUCUACCAUGAGACUGUGCCAGGAUUACUGCAGUGUGCACACAACAAGGAGGCUGUCCGUCAUCUACAGAAGGUCCUGAAAGACAGAAGCAGACAGAGAGGGAAUCUGGGUCUUGUGUAGUGAGUUAGUCAAUUAUUCAGAGCUAGGUGGUAGGUGGUCUUUCCUCUGACUAGUUAGUUCAGUUUCAGUGAGUUAGUUAGUCAGAGCUGUGAGAGACAGGAGCUGUGUCUUCAACAGGUUGAGAAUAAAGUGUAACCAGAUCAGUGCUUGUUUCCAUGUUCACCAUAUUCCUCAUUAGAAUAAAUCUAUGGAUCAUGUAGCUCAGUGUCUCAGUUAAAAUGUGUUGGAAUAAAAUGUGUCACUUUCCUGCCAAUGUCACCACCUGGAAUAUUUUUAUUUCUACUGGAUUUUGCUCAUUUUCCUGAUUUAGUUUGUUUCCUUCAUGGAAACACUCGAGUUAUUGAUGUUAUGGAAACCUCAUCAUAUCUGAUCACCUCUUGUACAACUCUUGUUUCCCCUUGUCUGUUGUGUCUGUGUCAGUCUUCACCCACACACACUAUCCAUCUUUGUAUUUUAUCCAAAUAAAUUGUCAGUCAAAUCCACAGAACUUUAUUUCAAAAUAAAGCAGAGAUGUGCAG